UGACCUACGGGGGGCAGCAGUGGGGAAUACUGCGCAAUGGACGAAAGUCUGACGCAGCGACGCCGCGUGAGGGAUGAAGGUUUUCGGAUCGUAAACCUCUGUCAGGAGGGAAGAAAGCGUAUGGCGCCAAUCAGCCAUGCGUUGACGGUACCUCCAAAGGAAGCGCCGGCUAACUCCGUGCCAGCAGCCGCGGUAAUACGGAGGAUGCGAGCGUUAUUCGGAUUUAUUGGGUUUAAAGGGUGCGUAGGCGGACUGGAAAGUCAGCGGUAAAAUCGAGAGGCUCAACCUCUUUCCGCCGUUGACAC
rnacentral:rRNA from 1 species